UGCUACAACCGCGCAGAAAAGGUUAUUAAGAUUCUGCUUUGCAGGACACCUGGGAUGGCGAGUCUUAGUCUU
rnacentral:sRNA from 1 species